CCCCUCACUGACGAUGAAGUGCUCGGCUACAUGCUCGCUGGGUUGGGCUCCGAGUUCGAGCCACUCAUCGCGUCGAUCACGGCGCGAGAUGAUCCAGUAAGUCUCAGCAGCUUCUAUGCGUAUCUCCUUAGUGCUGAAC
rfam:Triticum aestivum genome assembly, contig: Triticum_aestivum_CS42_TGACv1_scaffold_117263_2AS